rnacentral:rRNA from 1 species
GAUGAACGCUAGCGGCAGGCCUAAUACAUGCAAGUCGAACGGUGUCUCCGGACUUAGUGGCGCACGGGUGCGUAACACGUAUGCAACCUACCUUACAUUGGGGGAUAGCCUUUCGAAAGGGAGAUUAAUACCGCAUAAGACAGUAGCUGGGCAUCCAGUAGCUGUUAAAGAUUUAUCGAUGUAAGCUGGGCAUGCGUCCAAUUAGUUAGUUGGUGAGGUAACGGCUCACCAAGACGAUGAUUGGUAGGGGAACUGAGAGGUCAAUCCCCCACACUGGCACUGAGAUACGGGCCAGACUCCUACGGGAGGCAGCAGUAGGGAAUAUUGGGCGAUGGACGCAAGUCUGACCCAGCCAUGCCGCGUGCAGGAAGAAGGCGUUCUGCGUUGUAAACUGCUUUUAUAUAGGAAGAAACGACCCUUGCGAGGGGCAUUGACGGUAUUAUAUGAAUAAGCACCGGCUAACUCCGUGCCAGCCGCCGCGGUAACAC